rnacentral:piRNA from 1 species
GAAAACUCUUUUGGGCAAGAACCACCACC